AGAGUUUGAUCCUGGCUCAGAACGAACGCUGGCGGCGCGUCUUAAGCAUGCAAGUCGAGCGGCAAGGGGGAGCAAUCCCCCCUAGAGCGGCGGACUGGUGAGUAACACGUGGGUGAUCUACCUCGGGGAUGGGGAUAGCCUGUGGAAACACAGGAUAAUACCGAAUACGUUGACGGGAUCGCGGUCCCGCCAGGAAAGGCCCGUAUGGGCCGCCCUGAGAUGAGCCUGCGGCUGAUUAGCUUGUUGGCGGGGUAACGGCCCACCAAGGCGAUGAUCAGUAGCCGGACUGAGAGGUUGAACGGCCACAUUGGGACUGAGAUACGGCCCAAACUCCUACGGGAGGCAGCAGCUAAGAAUAUUCCGCAAUGGACGAAAGUCUGACGGAGCGACGCCGCGUGGAUGACGAAGGCCGAAAGGUUGUAAAAUCCUUUUGCUGGGGAAGAAUAACCAUGGGAGGGAAUGCCCGUGGGAUGACAUGAACCGGCGAAUAAGCCCCGGCUAACUACGUGCCAGCAGCCGCGGUAACACGUAGGGGGCGAGCGUUGUUCGGAAUUAUUGGGCGUAAAGGGCAUGUAGGCGGUUCCGUAAGCCUGGCGUGAAAUGGUAAGGCUCAACCUUAUCCUGCGUCGGGAACUGCGGGACUAGAAUCACUGAGGGGGAGAUAGAAUUCCAGGUGUAGGGGUGAAAUCUGUAGAUAUCUGGAAGAAUACCGGUGGCGAAGGCGAUCUCCUGGCAGAUGAUUGACGCUGAGGUGCGAAAGUGCGGGGAGCAAACAGGAUUAGAUACCCUGGUAGUCCGCA
rnacentral:rRNA from 1 species